rnacentral:rRNA from 1 species
CCCUUAGAUGUCCUGGGCUGCACGCGCGCUACACUGAUGCGUCCAAUAAGCACCUAACCUAAUCCGAAGGGACCGGGUAACCUUAGCAAAGCGCAUCGUGAUGGGGAUAGAUUAUUGCAAUUAUUAGUCUUGAACGAGGAAUUCCUAGUAAGCGCAAGUCAUCAGCUUGUGUUGAAUACGUCCCUGCCCUUUGUACACACCGCCCGUCGCUCCUACCGAUGAAUCGUCCGGUGAAGUUCACAGAGUGGCGGUUCGUGGAGUUGCUCGCGAAGUGAAAUGGACCUCACGAUUUAGAGGAAGGAGAAGUCGUAACA